GAGUUUGAUCCUGGCUCAGAUUGAACGCUGGCGGCAUGCUUUACACAUGCAAGUCGAACGGUAACGCGGGGGCAACCCUGGCGACGAGUGGCGAACGGGUGAGUAAUACAUCGGAACGUGCCCAGUAGUGGGGGAUAGCUCGGCGAAAGCCGGAUUAAUACCGCAUACGACCUACGGGUGAAAGCGGGGGAUCGCAAGACCUCGCGCUAUUGGAGCGGCCGAUGGCAGAUUAUCUUGUUGGUGGUGUAAAUCUCCUACC
rnacentral:rRNA from 1 species